AGUGGUAAAGUGAGUGUUCAUUGCAAAUAUUCAACGUCACAUUUUUAACGUAUUUACAAGAGUGUAUAGCUUUUAUUAUGUGAAAAAGUGAAAACGUAUGGGAACAAUAGAAAAUAUUUGAAUAAACUUACAAGGUUUACAAGAGUGCGACAAUGAACAAGCAUUUUCCCGCGCAUUUAUCCGGUCAGUUUAUAACAAAAUGGCGGAACUUCGAAACACGAAGAGAAAGAAGAGGAAGGAAGAAGAAGCGAUAAUCAAUUAUCAAAGGCCGAGGAAAGAAAACUCGUAAUCAUACGAAGGAAGAAAAUGGAUUCGACGUUCAAAGUGACUCACCGACAACGGUGCCAUAGCUGAUGAACAAUUGGUGGAACUGCGAGGCGAAAGAAGUGAAAAGGCAGCCGAGAGCUGUAACGAGGCCACCCAAAACCGCGAUGCAUGCAGGUGAAGCGGAGGAUCCAGACGGAAUGAAGAUUUCAUCCCGAAGGAAUUCGUCGAGCGGAUUUCAUCUAAAAUCAAAUGAGCCUUGGAUUAAAUCGUUUUCCAACUCGAGCAAUUAGUAGCGUUGCGUUACACGUAUUUGUUUACGUUUCUUACACGUUGCUUCCGGUUUGCAUCUCGUUCCAAUUGUAUCUAGAUUAGACCAGAUUAAAGUUUAAACUGAUAAGAAUUUAUUUUUUCUUUCUCGAAAUCCAUUUCUUCAUCGCAUUUCAAUCGAAGAUUUCUAAUUUGCAUUAAAAUUAAAUUUAUACAUGCCAGGUUUGUUUGUUGUAGUGAUGAAUUUGAAAGCACGUGUAAUUGCCUGUUUAAUGGUUUAAUGGAGUUUUUUUUUAAGAGUACAGGUAGUGGUUACGUAUUUAAUUAUACCUUUAAAUAUUACCAGUUUAACCUUGUGCUUGUGGUCUUUAAAUUUUUAUGUUUCAAUUUUCGUUCUUGUUACGAGAGGAAUAUUAAUGUUUCGAGAAAAACUUUAACACGGAUAUUAAAGCGGAAAAUCACGCUGAUUAACGAUAAUUUGUUUUUUUUUUUUUUUUUACAUUUCUUUAAACAUUCUGAAAUUCUUUUGAUAUAACGAUAAAUUAUACAACUUGAAAGCGACACGAUUGUAAACACGAUUAAAGUAGAAUAUAUAAAUUUUCUAAAUUUCGUGGGUAUUUUUUUCCAUCUUCCAUUGUAACUUUCCUCGUUUUAUUAUCCCCUGUAACGUG